GUUAAAACUCGUAUAAAAGGGAUACCACUUUACAUAAAAACUCAUUAGAAAUACUAAAUUAUAUUAAAAUAUUAUUGAGUACAACAUCAAUACAAGCUAAAAAUGAACUUUAAAUUCAUCAUUGCCAUGGCAAUUUUCAUCAUCGUUAGUAUGUUUAAUUUAGCACAAGUUGAUGCACAAGCAUCAUCUGCUCCUCCCACGACUGGCACACCUACCUCGACUACCGCAACAGGCAACUGCACAGCUCAACCUCCUAAAUCUAGUUCCUAAUCUGCAGGAACCUCAUAACCAACAGCAACUACUUGAUAAUAAUAUUCAAACUUACCAAAAUAUCACCAAAAGAAUAUAGGAAGGCACGAAAUCUAUUGUAUUAAGUUUUCAAAUCCAAGUGUUAAAACUAAAAAAAAAUAUGAAAUUUUAAACACUUACAAAAUUAAUUAGACAUUUUCGUGAUGUUGACGAAUUUUGUUAAACUUUGAUCUUAAGUCACUAAUAUCAAAUAAUUUAGAUAUUUUGUAAUUUUUAAAAAGAAUCUAUGAGGAACUUUGUACUAAUAUUUUUACUUAUAAUUUUUAAUCACAAAAAAAUUUAAUUGUUUAUAAAUAAAAAAAAAUCCAAUAAACUAAACAUUUUCUCAUGUCCAUAAUUUAUAAGUUAUAAGUUAUAAGUAGCAUAAAAAGAUUCAAAAUAUUUUAAAAAUUAUAUCUUGUCUAGAAAAUGUUCAGAAUAUUAAUGCUUGAUGAACACACCUGAUAGGUCUCUAAGGUAAUAUAGUAAUUUAUUUUUGUCUAGUUGCACUUAUGCGGACGGCUAUAGUAAUAUUAAACAAAAUUGUAUAUAAUAUUCAUAUAUAUCUAUUAAAUACAUUUUUUAUUUGAAUAAAAUUCCUAGCUAAACUAAUUUUGAUCUGUGUGUACAGUUUAACGAAUGUUUAUACCUACUAUUUGAAAUAUUAAUUUUCGAUAUCAUUGGUAAAUUAAACUAUAAAAUUAUACAAUAA